ACUCACCAGCAGCUCCCACGAAAGCAAGGAUCAGGAGUGGAGUCAUGGCGGCAGAAGUAGAACUGAGGUGAUACCGUUUCUUCUGUCAACACUUCAUCGUUCUACUUCAAGGUGGAAGUGUUGAAAGUAUAUGCUACAUCAUGGAAGACGUCUUUGGUGCUGGCUAUGCUGCUGGCACAGAGGAAACUACCUGGGAGGGAUGACAGAGCCCGCUGGCCCCGUUUGGCACAUCGUACCGCUUGGCAAAUGUAAUGGUUCGGAGCAGAAGCAGCAGCGGUGGUGGGCAGGUGUUUUAGGGCCCAUCAGAAGAAGAAAAGGAUCCUGUGGACACAGUGGUACCCGGAGAGGCAACAUCCUUGUCAGGCUGACAUAUAGCACCGAGUCAACAAGGGGCCGGAAUAUAAUAAAAAACUCUAU